rnacentral:rRNA from 1 species
AGUGAACGCUGGCGGUAGGCCUAACACAUGCAAGUCGAACGGCAGCACAGUAAGAGCUUGCUCUUACGGGUGGCGAGUGGCGGACGGGUGAGGAAUACAUCGGAAUCUACUUUUUCGUGGGGGAUAACGUAGGGAAACUUACGCUAAUACCGCAUACGACCUACGGGUGAAAGCAGGGGAUCUUCGCACCUUGCGCGAUUGAAUGAGCCGAUGUCGGAUUAGCUAGUUGGCGGGGUAAAGGCCCACCAAGGCGACGAUCCGUAGCUGGUCUGAGAGGAUGAUCGGCCACACUGGAACUGAGACACGGUCCAGACUCCUACGGGAGGCAGCAGUGGGGAAUAUUGGACAAUGGGCGAAAGCCUGAUCCAGCCAUGCCGCGUGGGUGAAGAAGGCCUUCGGGUUGUAAAGCCCUUUUGUUGGGAAAGAAAAGCAGCAGGUUAAUACCCCGCUGUUCUGACGGUACCCAAAGAAUAAGCACCGGCUAACUUCGU